GCCCUAGUGGUGGAACUGGUAGACACGCCGGACUCGGAUUCCGGUGGUUUGCGCUGACAACGCAGCCGUGAGGGUUCGAAACCCUCCUAGGGCACCA
rnacentral:tRNA from 1 species